AACGUAGGAGACAAACGUUAUCCGGAGUUACUGGGCGUAAAGGGCGUGUAGGCGGUCUCGUAAGUCUGGCGUGAAAUUUCUCGGCUUAACCGAAGCAGGUCGUCGGAUACUGCGAGGCUAGAGGACGGUAGAGGCGUGUGGAAUUCCGGGUGUAGUGGUGAAAUGCGUAGAGAUCCGGAGGAACACCAGUGGCGAAGGCGACACGCUGGGCCGUACCUGACACUGAUGCGCGACAGCAUGGGGAGCAAACAGG
rnacentral:rRNA from 1 species